rnacentral:rRNA from 1 species
GGGUUGUGAGGUUAAGCGACUAAGCGUACACGGUGGAUGCCCUGGCAGUCAGAGGCGAUGAAGGACGUGCUAAUCUGCGAUAAGCGUCGGUAAGGUGAUAUGAACCGUUAUAACCGACGAUUUCCGAAUGGGGAAACCCAGUGUGUUUCGACACACUAUCAUUACGUGAAUACAUAGCGUAAUGAAGCGAACCGGGGGAACUGAAACAUCUAAGUACCCCGAGGAAAAGAAAUCAACCGAGAUUCCCCCAGUAGCGGCGAGCGAACGGGGAGCAGCCCAGAGCCUGAAUCAGCAUGUGUGAUAGUGGAACGGUAUGGAAAGGCCGGCGAUACAGGGUGAUAGCCCCGUACACAAAAUUGCAUGUGUUGUGAGCUCGAUGAGUAGGGCGGGACACGUGGUAUCCUGUCUGAAUAUGGGGGGACCAUCCUCCAAGGCUAAAUACUCCUGACUGACCGAUAGUGAACCAGUACCGUGAGGGAAAGGCGAAAAGAACCCCGGCGAGGGGAGUGAAAAAGAACCUGAAACCGUGUACGUACAAGCAGUGGGAGCAUCCUUCGGGGUGUGACUGCGUACCUUUUGUAUAAUGGGUCAGCGACUUAUAUUCUGUAGCAAGGUUAACCGUAUAGGGGAGCCGCAGGGAAACCGAGUCUUAACUGGGCGUUAAGUUGCAGGGUAUAGACCCGAAACCCGGUGAUCUAGCCAUGGGCAGGUUGAAGGUUGGGUAACACUAACUGGAGGACCGAACCGACUAAUGUUGAAAAAUUAGCGGAUGACUUGUGGCUGGGGGUGAAAGGCCAAUCAAACCGGGAGAUAGCUGGUUCUCCCCGAAAGCUAUUUAGGUAGCGCCUCGUGAACUCAUCUUCGGGGGUAGAGCACUGUUUCGGCUAGGGGGUCAUCCCGACUUACCAACCCGAUGCAAACUACGAAUACCGAAGAAUGUUAUCACGGGAGACACACGGCGGGUGCUAACGUCCGUCGUGAAGAGGGAAACAACCCAGACCGCCAGCUAAGGUCCCAAAGUCACAGUUAAGUGGGAAACGAUGUGGGAAGGCUCAGACAGCCAGGAUGUUGGCUUAGAAGCAGCCAUCAUUUAAAGAAAGCGUAAUAGCUCACUGGUCGAGUCGGCCUGCGCGGAAGAUGUAACGGGGCUAAACUGUGCACCGAAGCUGCGGCAGCGACACUAUGUGUUGUUGGGUAGGGGAGCGUUCUGUAAGCCUGCGAAGGUGUCUCGUGAGGGAUGCUGGAGGUAUCAGAAGUGCGAAUGCUGACAUAAGUAACGAUAAUGCGGGUGAAAAACCCGCACGCCGGAAGACCAAGGGUUCCUGUCCAACGUUAAUCGGGGCAGGGUGAGUCGACCCCUAAGGCGAGGCCGAAAGGCGUAGUCGAUGGGAAACAGGUUAAUAUUCCUGUACUUGGUGUUACUGCGAAGGGGGGACGGAGAAGGCUAUGUUAGCCGGGCGACGGUUGUCCCGGUUUAAGCAUGUAGGCGG